rnacentral:rRNA from 1 species
GCUGGAAUCGCUAGUAAUCGCAGGUCAGCAUACUGCGGUGAAUACGUUCCCGGGUCUUGUACACACCGCCCGUCACACCAUGGGAGCCGGAAAUGCCCGAAGCCAGUGACCCAACCUUAGGGAGGGAGCUGUCGAAGGCGGGACAGAUGACUGGGGUGAAGUCGUAACAAGGUAGC